rnacentral:lncRNA from 1 species
CAACCUCCAGUAACGUGGGCUUAUGCUGUAUGGAUGGCAUGAAGUUUUGCUAAGAGAUGAGUCUGAGAGCAUGAUGCCUUGCCUUCCUCUUGCCGGGGGAAAAUCCCAGCAGUGCCUUCAAGGAGAGGCUCUGCCACAUGCGUGAAAAAUACGGAGCCAGGCUGGAGAGUGCAGAGCACGGGUUGUCCCUGUGUAUCCUGUCACCAGCCUGGUGGAGCCAGGAAGGUUGUUAGCCCUUUAGCAUUGACUCCUCGGUGAAGGUCACUGGCAGCCUGUUCAGAGCCUACAAAGUCAGGAUGUGCUCUCCCAGAGGAUUAAUGGAUAAAGCUCUGGAAAACUUCAUCUAGAGAAGAUGUCACCAAUUUGAUGUAUAAGAUGAACAGAUAAAUGUGUACUAGCCUCCUUGGAAAGCAACAGGAUUUUGCUUUGUCUUCAUGCAUUUCCCUCAAGACCUCGAGUUCAAGGCUUCAGUUCUCCACUUUGAAGACGCCCACAGCUGUGAACAUCCCUCCCCUCUCCCAUCCCACCGCAGACGCAGCGCACUCCUGAGUAUGGUGUCACUGCUACAGAAGACACUUAGCUACACCAGAUAGGAAGAAAAGUACACUACCAUCUGCAAGGAGAGCUGAUGGUUUUGUGUGCUCUCUAGAAAAGAUUAGUCCUGUGCUGUGAAAUCAAAAUGUGUUGAGAGACUGUUCCCAGACAAACAGCUGCUGCAUUAGA